rnacentral:rRNA from 1 species
CUAUGCGCCUUGCCAGCCCGCUCAGGUGUGCCAGCAGCCGCGGUAAUACGGAGGAUGCGAGCGUUAUCCGGAUUUAUUGGGUUUAAAGGGUGCGUAGGCGGUCCGUUAAGUCAGCGGUAAAAUUGCGGGGCUCAACCCCGUCGAGCCGUUGAAACUGUCAGACUUGAGUUGGCGAGAAGUACGCGGAAUGCGCGGUGUAGCGGUGAAAUGCAUAGAUAUCGCGCAGAACUCCGAUUGCGAAGGCAGCGUACCGGCGCCAGACUGACGCUGAGGCACGAAAGCGUGGGGAUCGAACAGG